rnacentral:lncRNA from 1 species
AUGGGUGCCCUGUUGGGUGUCCUUUGUGUCACCCACGGGUGCCCUGCUGGUGCCCCAUUGUCACCCACGGGUGCCACGUCGGAUGUCCCCAGUGUCACCUUUGGGUGCCCCGUUGGGUGUCCCCAUUGGGUGUCACCCAUGGGUGUCGUGGUGGGUGUCCCCUGUGUCACCCUUGGGUGUCCCCUGUGUCAGCCAUGGCUGCCCUGCUGGGUGUCACCUUUGGGUGCUCUGCUGUGUGUCCCCAUUGGCUGUCACUCGUGUGUGCCAUGUUGGGUGUCACCCAUGGGUGCCCCAUUGGGUGUCUCCAUUGUCACCUUUGGGUGUCCUUUGCGUCGCCCUUCGGUGUCCCCUGUGUCACCCAUGGCUGCUUUGCUGUUAUCCCCAUUGGGUGUCACCCAUGGGUGCCAUGUUGGGUGUCCCCUGCGUCACCUUUGGGUGCCCCAUUCGGUGUCCCCUCUGUCACCCUUGGGUGCCCCCAUUGUCAUACAUGAGUGCCUGUUGGGUGUCCUUUGUGUCACCCACGGGUGCCCUGCUGGGUGUCCCGUGUGUCACCCUAGGGUGUCCCCUGUGUCACCCUUGGGUGCCCCCAUUGUCCCCACAGAUGUCCAGCUCCCCGCUGUCGAAGAAGCGCCGCGUGUCCGGGUCACCUCAGCGCCUCAGUGCCACCAACGUCCCCAGCACCGCCAGCCCCGCCAACGUGAGUGUCACCCGUUGUCACCUGUUGUCACCCAUUGUCCCCAUUGUCACCCCUUGUCCUCCCCAUUGUCACCCAGUACCCCUCCGUGUCACCCACUGUCACCCAUUGUCCUUUCAUUGUCACCCAGUGUCACCCAUUGUCCCCUUAGUGUCACCCGUUGUCCCCUUUGUCACCCCUUGUCCUCCCCAUUGUCACCCAGUGUCCCUCCGUGUCACCCACUGUCACCCAUUGUCCCCUUAGUGUCACCCAUUGUCACCCGUUGUCCCCCCGUUGUCACCCACUGUCACCCAGCGUCCCCUCAGUGUCACCCGUUGUCCCUUCAUUGUCACCUGUUGUCACCCAUUGUCACCCAUUGUCACCCCACUGUCACCCAUGGGUGUCCCCUGGGUUGGGAUUUUGGGGUUCCUUGGAGCUCUCUGUCCCCUCUUUGUCACCCGUUGUGUCCCCAAAUGUCCCCAAACGGCCCCAAAUGCCCCCAGAGUGGCCCCAAAUGGCCCCAUAAUGUCCCCAAUGUCCCCAUUGACCCUAUAAUGUCCCCAUUGACCCCAUAGCGUCCCCAAUGUCCCUAUUGACCCCAUAAUAUUCCCGUUGACCCCAUUGACCCCAUGAUCUGUCCGCUGACCCCAUCAUGUCCCCACUGACCCCAUCAUGUCCCCAUUGACCCCAUAACGUCCCUGCUGACCCCAUAAUAUCCCCAAUAUCCCAUUUGACCCUAUAAGGUCCCCGCUGACCCUAUAAUGUCCCCAUUGAUCCCAUAAUGUCGCCAAUAUCCCAUUUGACCCUAUAAAGUCCCCAUUGACCCUACUGACCCCAUAAUGUCCCCACUGACCCCGUAACGACCCCACUGACCCCAUAAUGUCCCCACUGACCCCAUUGACCCCAUAAUGUCCCGAUAAUGUCCCCAUUGACCCCAUAAAGUCCCCACUGACCCCAUAAUGACCCCAUUGACCCUAUAAAGUCCCCAUAAUGUCCCUAUUGACCCCAUAAAGUUCUCACUGACCCCAUAAUGUCCCCAAUAUCCCAUUUGUCCCUAUGAAGUCCCCAUUGACCCCAUAACGUUCCCAUUGAUCCUAUAAAGUCCCCGCUGACCCCAUAAUGUCCCCAUUGACCCCAUUGACCCCAUAAUAUCCCCAUAAAGUCCCCGCUAACCCUAUAACAUCCCCAUUGACCCCAUAAGGUCCUCAUUGAUCCCAUCAGGUCCCCACUGACCCCAUAAGGUCCUCAUAAUGUCCCCGCUGACCCCAUUGAUCCCAUAAUGUCCUCGCUGACCCCAUAAUGUCCUCGCUGACCCCAUAAUGACCCCAUUGACCCUAUAAUGUUCCCGUAACGUCCCCAUUGACCCCGUAAUGUCCACAUUGACCCCAUAAUGUCCCCACUGACCCCAUAAUGUCCCUCCUGACCCUAUAAGGUCCUCAUUGACCUCACAAUGUCCUCAUAAUGUCCCGGCUGACCCCAUAAAGCCCCCACUGACCCCAUAUAUCCCCAUUGACCCCAUAAUGUCCCCAUAAAGUCCCCUCUGACCCCAUAAUGUCCCCGCUGACCCUAUAAUGA